CUUGGAUGACAGAGCUGAGCUACCCUCGCUGGUUUCGUAACUAUUCCUCAGAAGAGAGACAAUCACCAAACCCCCAAAUCUUCUAGAAAAAUCAACCGUGAAAAACAGAUAAGUGAUGAAACUUCAUUCGGCCUGAUCAACGGCUGUGAAGAACUCUCAAAGUCCCUUUAGCAGGCUGGAAAUACGAACGCUAUUUUUUCCAACACAGAAGUCUGCAUUUUUCUCAAAGCCUGGGCUUUGGCGUUCACCGAUGUUUUUUAAAGCCAGGGUCCCUGAUGCCUCUUUUGGGUCUGGUCUUGGGUCUUCUCAUCGUCAAUGCUUCCCAGCAGAUGCGUCUGUCUUGAUCUCCAAUGCCUGAGAACAAUGACACGUUCCCUAAACAAUUAGUGCAUAAAUGGCCGAGAGGGCGGAAUUGAAAGGAAGUGCAGCGAGCCAGAAUUUAGAUGCCCGCCGAGUUUCCAGCCAAAAGUAGCAUCAAAGUCUGUGGGAAAUGAUGCUUCACAGAUGCAAAAGGGUUUCUCAGUUUCACCACCCAGGGAAAGAAUUGAUUCUCCAGUUGCUGAAUUCCAGCCCUGUUGUUCCUGCAUGAGAAGUGACAAAGACCUCACUGUUUCCAUCUUCACCAUUCUUGAAUGCUGCACCAAAGAUGGGAAUCCUGUGUCUGGGGUACACUCAGUUCACAAGAUGAUGAGGUGCCUAGUGGAGGAGAUUUUAGAACCUCCUGCUAACAGCAGGCUGGCUAUCCUGGCAUGGGAAUGAGAAAGGUCUUGGACAGUCUGGAAACAUCCAACCCUGAAGCAAAACAGAUCUAUAGCUGUAUCCUAGCAGGAUCCGGGAGAAAAAUGGCUCAGGACUGAGACACAGGGUUAAUUUUAAAAGGGUGACUCAGAAAUGCUGUAAGCCAAUUUACUGUUUCCUUUCACUUGGGAGAUGUGGUCUUCAGAGUUAGAAGUAUUAAAAACUGAAGAUGGAAUGGCUGUCUUGACACAUCUGGAACACUAGAUAUUGUGAUGUCUUCCUAGCACUCCUGGGUCUCUGGAGCCCGUGUUUACACCUCUUGAAGUCAUCUCCAUCAGCAUCUCCACGUUUGAACCACUCAGCUUGGAUUCUGACUGGUAA
rnacentral:lncRNA from 1 species